UCUCCGUUGGUGAACCAGCGGAGGGAUCAUUACAGGACUCGCAAGACUCCUACAACCCUGUGAACUUAACUAUAAGCACGUUGCUUCGGCGGGUGUCUCGGAGGGGGUUCUCCCUCCCCGAGACGCUAAACCCGCCGGCAGCCUACUAUACUCUGUCUCUUUGCGUUGGCAUCUCGAGUACAAUCAAACAAGUUAAGACUUUCAACAACGGAUCUCUUGGUUCUG
rnacentral:misc_RNA from 1 species